UCGUCUGUAAACAUCGCAAUCGUCAUGAUAAAUAUUGCAAUGAUCACGCCACGCCACCUUCUCACUUUCAGCCGCCUGACGAGUGUAUAUAAAGGCAUGCUUGAUCUUGAUUAAAACAUAACACAUCUUUUUGUGCAGAUAAAUUCUUUGUUUUCACUUUAACCCUCAAAAACCAACCAAAAACCAAAAAUGGGCGCAGAAAAUGUAUCCAUGAACAUCGUUGUCGUCGGACAAGUCCAAUCUGCCAAGGCCAUCAAAUCUGUCGCCAAAGCCACCCCAGCCACCAGCCAAUUGAUGAACUGUUAAUUCAUGUAGUUCAUCCAUCCAUCGCAAACUCAAACAUGCCAUAGCCAAAAUAAUACAAUACGAGUAUAUUAUUUAGAUUGAUAUUGACACCAUGAAAUAAAACAGCUUCUUCCGAAAUUGAA